GGGUGUGGCGAGGCACACCUGUAGUCCCUGUUCCUGGGGAGGCAGAGGUUGCUGGGUUGAUCACUUGCAUUUGAAAGUUCUGACCUGCAGUAGGGCUAAUGCUGAUCAGGUAUCCACACUAAGAAUGGCACCAAUAUGGUGAGCACCCAGGAGUGAGGAGUCACCAGGCAGAUUAAGGAGUGGUGAACUCUCCAGGUUGGAAAUGGGGCAGGUCAAAACUUUCAUGCCAAUAAGUAAUGAGAUUGACUCUUGAAUGACCAUUGUACUUCCAGCAUGGGUAGGAUAGAGAGAUCCAGUCUUCUU
ensembl:misc_RNA Metazoa_SRP Metazoan signal recognition particle RNA